rnacentral:rRNA from 1 species
UACAGAGGUCUCAAGCGUUUGUUCGGAUUCAUUGGGCGUAAAGGGUGCGUAGGCGGCGCGGUAAGUCGGGUGUGAAAUCUCGGGGCUUAACUCCGAAACUGCAUUCGAUACUGCCGUGCUUGAGGACUGGAGAGGAGACUGGAAUUUACGGUGUAGCGGUGAAAUGCGUAGAUAUCAGGAGGAACACCGGUGGCGAAGGCGGGUCUCUGGGCAGUAACUGACGCUGAGGAGCGAAAGCGUGGGGAGCAAACAGG